rnacentral:rRNA from 1 species
UACAGAGGGUGCAAGCGUUAAUCGGAAUCACUGGGCGUAAAGAGCGCGUAGGUGGUUAUUUAAGUUGGAUGUGAAAGCCCCGGGCUCAACCUGGGAAGCCCAUCCAAGACUGGGUAACUAGAGUGCAGUAGAGGGAAGUGGAAUUUCCGGUGUAGCGGUGAAAUGCGUAGAUAUCGGAAGGAACACCAGUGGCGAAGGCGGCUUCCUGGACUGACACUGACACUGAGGCGCGAAAGCGUGGGUAGCGAACAGG